UACUCGUAUGUUUUCGCUCCAAAUCUCACACUCCAGCAAAUCGCUCAAAUCCCCAAUUCGACUCCAGCAAAUCGGUCUUCCCUUCACCAAAUCACCACUCCGGCAAAUCAACAAAUCAAUUAAGUGUGAAAUUGCACCAAAUCUCAAACCCUCCCCUACUUGUACGACCGCCGCUCCAGCCCCCCUCCGGCCGCCGCCGCUCUCCCCGCCCCAUCUCCUUCGAUCGACAGCCCGCCGCCCUCACCUAGCCUUUCGUCGCCGCCCCAGCCUUUUACGGCCGCCGCUCCAGCCCCCUCCGGCCGCCGCCGCUCUCCCCGCCCCAUCUCCUUCGAUCGACAGCCCGCCGCCCUGACCUAGCCUUUCGUCGCCGCCCCAGCCUUCUACGGCCGCCGCUCCAGCCCCCUCCGGCCGCCGCCGCUCUCCCCGCCCCGUCUCCUUCGAUCGACAGCCCACCGCCCUCACCUAGCCUUUCCCGGAUGACUCCGCAGCAGCAGCAGCAGUUUCCAACGCCCAAGUUCCCAUCAAAAGGAGGAAGCUUCAGCGAUCAAGUCGGCUAGCAAAUCAUGGUACAAGACCAUGAUCUCGGAUAGUGACUACACAGAAUUUGAGAACUUCACAAAGUGGUUGGGUGUGUCUCAGUGAUUCAAAUCUUGAUUUAACUUAGUUAUAGUCUUUAUAUUAAUCUUGAACUCUUUUACUGUUUUUUGCCAUAUACUUGUAUUCUGUAUAUAUCUCAACUUCAUGCUUAUGUUGUUAGGUCAUAGUAUUCUUAUAACCUGUAGAUGGAUGUCUAAUCUUUUGCUUUAAGAAGAUUUUCCUUUCCCAUGAAGAUUACAUGCUUUCAUUUUGAUUAUUUCUUGAACCCAGAGGAAGAUUAACUGAAGUUACUAAGAGAAAACUUGUUGGAAACAAUGAAACCAAAACAUAGAUUUUUUCAAGUUAUUGUAUGUUUGUGAGUGAUCUGCCAGUCCAACCAACCACCACCCAUUUGUAUAUAGAUUUAAGAGCUUUAUAUUCUGAUGAAGAUGAUAGCAGGAUCUCAAUGUAGCUGUAGUAGGAUUGUGAAUGGAUGAUUCGAGAUGUUGUUCUGGAAAUUCUAGUUCUGCAUCUUGCUUUAAUUAUUUAAGUAAUAGGAUUGCAGUCUCAUUAUGCUGCUAAAUGCUGAUUAUUUCUGUACAAUAUGGUCCUCUUUUAGGAAUAAGAAUACUGCAGGAUGUUCUGAUUUUCUAGACCUGAUGUUGCAUCUAUAUUGUUCUUAUGAUAGAGCUUCAACACUUAAGGAACAGUCUCCCAACAAAUUUUUAGUUUCUUUACAUGGCACAUAGUAUAAGCAUAGUAUAAGCAUAGAAAAAACAAUCAAUAUCAGAGAACCGCGAUACUGAGGUAAACUGCAAGUGCUUUCAUGUAUUUGCACUAUGCUCCAUUGUGAUAAGUAUUCUCAAUGUGUACAUGUGUACGAAUAAUUCUCACAGAUAAAGAAGGAAUCUGGGUUUAGAGAUUCAUCUUACCUGCCUUGCGAAGACCAUGAGCGAGCUGAUGAGGAUGUGGAUAUUGGUGGAAAUGAUUCGCCUCCAAUUUCCAGUUCACCUCCAAUUUGGAUUGAUAAGGAUGAUGCUGAAAGGAAUAGUAACUGCAGUGGUUCAAGAAGCUCCAGUAGUGAAUCAGGCACCUCAUCUACUGGUGGCAAUAACAGUUAGCAGGAAGAUAGGAAGCUAGAUGUGGCAUUUUGGUUGGUGUUUUGUAUGUCUUUUGAAUCUAGAAAAAUGUAAGAAUUUGGUGAAGCAAGAGUUGAACACCAUUUUUUUUGUUAAUAUUGUUUGGAUGUAAAUUACAUGACUACUUUUGGUACUUGGAAGCUACAAUGUAUGGAAGUUUAAGUUAUGUUAUAUAAUAUGUUUUGGAUUGUAUUA